AAAACGACUCUCGGCAACGGAUAUCUCGGCUCUUGCAUCGAUGAAGAACGUAGCGAAAUGCGAUACUUGGUGUGAAUUGCAGAAUCCCGUGAACCAUCGAGUCUUUGAACGCAAGUUGCGCCCAAAACCUUCGGGUCGAGGGCACGUCUGUCUGGGUGUCACGU
rnacentral:rRNA from 1 species